rnacentral:rRNA from 1 species
GAUGAACGCUGGCGGCGUGCCUAAUACAUGCAAGUCGAGCGAACGGACGAGAAGCUUGCUUCGCUGAUGUUAGCGGCGGACGGGUGGGUAACACGUGGAUAACCUACCUAUAAGACUGGGAUAACUUCGGGAAACCGGAGCUAAUACCGGAUGAUAUUUUGAACCGCAUGGUUCAAAAGUGAAAGACGGUCUUGCUGUCACUUAUAGAUGGAUCCGCGCUGCAUUAGCUAGUUGGUAAGGUAACGGCUUACCAAGGCAACGAUGCAUAGCCGACCUGAGAGGGUGAUCGGCCACACUGGAACUGAGACACGGUCCAGACUCCUACGGGAGGCAGCAGUAGGGAAUCUUCCGCAAUGGGCGAAAGCCUGACGGAGCAACGCCGCGUGAGUGAUGAAGGUCUUCGGAUCGUAAAACUCUGUUAUUAGGGAAGAACAUAUGUGUAAGUAACUGUGCACAUCUUGACGGUACCUAAUCAGAAAGCCACGGCUAACUACGUG